AUUUUUAUUCCAAAAAAAAUAGUAAAUUUGUAACGGCCAGGGUCAUUAUAAAUGUCAGAAGUUCACAGCCAUAGGCAUACUACCAAAACAAAAGUAAGGGUCCACAACUGUAACAACAGUUUCACAAGGUGAAAGACCCACUAGAAGAAAAGUUUAAUUCCAGUGGAACAGCCAGAUAGGAAUAUAUAUCACCCUGAACAAAAUUGUCAGAUGCAAGAAACAUUUCAUUUUGUGACUAGAUCCGCGUUGUGCCAUCCCUUGGUGCAAGGUGGAAUACUCAUGAAUUCAUCAAACUCCUUUACAUGGACAUCACAACACUUCCACCCUCUCAACCGAUCAUGAAAAACAGCAGGCCC
rnacentral:misc_RNA from 1 species